CAAGGUGAGACCCCUGGGAGAAAAAGUGUUCUUCGUGUUCUUCAGCAUUUAUGCCUCUUCAGAGAGGCUUUCAGUAUGGUGAAGUCAAUAUGGCGUGUGCUGCCAAGAGAAUCUAUGCCAGAGAGAUUCCUGAACCUAACUGUGAUUGUGCACCCUCAAGACUUGGUGAAACUCACUUCUCUUUAGCACCUCUUCAUUGGAAAAGGCCAGAAUCCAAUCCUCCUGCUUGGGAUGGAAGAGCAUGCUAUGGAUGUAGAAGUUCAGACGGUAUUUUUGAUAGGUGGCGCCUUCAUCAGAACUGAUCAACAGGCUGCUCUCAAUCUCAGGAAAGAAGACAGGAUUCAGAUUGGAUCAAAUGAAUCCCAUCAAUGAGAAAGCUGUAACUGGUCAUUUUAAAAUAGAGAGACUGGCUUGAUCUGCAGGACUGAGAGUCAGUA